ACAUCUUGCAGGAAACCAAGGUAGCAUUCAAUCGAGACCCACCAGCUCACUGGGUCAAGACGUCCCGCUGCCAAGUUCCUGAACAAAAAGAGACCAGAGAUGGCUUCAAGGACGACGUAUGUGGUAGAACGGUGGAAGAAGGCACGGCAGGAUUGUGCAGAAUGCAUUACGUGGAAUACCUCGGGCAGCUAAUCUUCAAGAACCACAUCGACCCGGUGCCCAUAUUCGACGUUGAAGAGCUGGAGCUGGUGCUGAAGCGCGCAAAUAUCCGGCUGCCGUCGCGCUACAAGCUGUCGGAUCGCGAAUACCAGGACGUCCUCAUCAAGGUUAUCAACACCGAUGUGCACUGGAAAAAAGUGCUGGCUUAAACCAAUGACGCAAGGUUACAUCAUAAUGCGACGUCUUAGGGCCGAGGUGCAACACUAAGAACAUCAACUCUCGGUGUUCUGAAAAAAAAAUGCAACAUCAUUUUU